UCCUGGAGCUGUGUCCUUGAUGCCUUAA
rnacentral:piRNA from 1 species